UACGUAGGGUGCAAGCGUUGUCCGGAAUUAUUGGGCGUAAAGAGCUCGUAGGCGGUUUGGCAAGUCGGGUGUGAAAACUCCGGGCUCAACUCGGAGACGCCACUCGAUACUGCCAUGACUUGAGUCCGGUAGGGGAGUGCGGAAUUCCUGGUGUAGCGGUGAAAUGCGCAGAUAUCAGGAGGAACACCGGUGGCGAAGGCGGCACUCUGGGCCGGUACUGACGCUGAGGAGCGAAAGCGUGGGGAGCGAACAGG
rnacentral:rRNA from 1 species